rnacentral:miRNA from 1 species
GCUGACACAUCCCGGCCAAUCUCCAGCAGACCCUCCCUCCCAGACCCUCCCACCUCCUGGACAGCAUCCAUGUUGAAGCUGCCUUCAACAUGGAUGCUGUCCAGGAAGUAGGAGGGUCUGGGAGGGAGGGUCUGCUGGAGAUUGGCCGGGAUGUGUCAG